rnacentral:rRNA from 1 species
CCUACGGGUGGCAGCAGUGAGGAAUAUUGGUCAAUGGGCUUACGCCUGAACCAGCCAAGUCGCGUGAGGGAGGACUGCCCUAUGGGUUGUAAACCUCUUUUGUCAGGGAGCAACGCCGGCUACUUUUAGCCUGUCUGAGAGUACCUGAAGAAAAGUCCUCGUCUAACUCCGUGCCCGCAGCCUCUGUACUACGGAGGAUGCGAGCGUUAUCCGGAUUUAUUGGGUUUAAAGGGUGCGUAGGCGGAAUGCCAAGUCAGCGGUAAAAUCGCGGGGCUCAACCUCGCUCCGCCGUUGAAACUGGCGUUCUUGAGUGGGCGAGAAGUAUGCGGAAUGCGUGGUGUAGCGGUGAAAUGCAUAGAUAUCACGCAGAACUCCGAUUGCGAAGGCAGCAUACCGGCGCCCAACUGACGCUGAAGCACGAAAGCGUGGGUAUCGAACAGGAUUAGAUACCCGUGUAGUC